AUUGAACGCUGGCGGCAUGCCUUACACAUGCAAGUCGAACGGCAGCACGGAGCUUGCUCUGGUGGCGAGUGGCGAACGGGUGAGUAAUAUAUCGGAACGUACCCAAGAGUGGGGGAUAACGUAGCGAAAGUUACGCUAAUACCGCAUACGAUCUAAGGAUGAAAGCAGGGGAUCGCAAGACCUUGUGCUCCUGGAGCGGCCGAUAUCUGAUUAGCUAGUUGGUGAGGUAAAGGCUCACCAAGGCAUCGAUCAGUAGCUGGUCUGAGAGGACGACCCGCCACACUGGAACUGAGACACGGUCCAGACUCCUACGGGAGGCAGCGGUGGGGAAUUUUGGACAAUGGGGGCAACCCUGAUCCAGCAAUGCCGCGUGAGUGAAGAAGGCCUUCGGGUUGUAAAGCUCUUUUGUCAGGGAAGAAACGGUGAAGGCUAAUAUCCUUUGCUAAUGACGGUACCUGAAGAAUAAGCACCGGCUAACUACGUGCCAGCAGCCGCCGUAA
rnacentral:rRNA from 1 species